UGCGCAAGUCAUUGGGACUAAACUAAACCUAAAGGCGAAAUGAAAGUGAAGGCGCGCCUAGCGCGCGCCGAGGGCGGAUGGGCGACGGCACGCCGUCGCCCCGCACGUCCGGGGCGUCCCGACCUCAUUGCGAGAUGGGGCGCACCAGGAGCGCAAAUGCUACGACCCGAAAGAUGGUGAACUAUGCCUGGUCAGGACGAAGUCAGGGGAAACUCUGAUGGAGGUCCGUAGCGAUUCUGACGUGCAAAUCGAUCGUCGGAACUGGGUAUAGGGGCGAAAGACCAAUCGAACCUUCUAGUAGCUGGUUCCCUCCGAAGUUUCCCUCAGGAUAGCUGGCGCUCGCUAUAUGCGAGUCUCAUCCGGUAAAGCGAAUGAUUAGAGGCAUUGGGGUCGAAACGGCCUCAACCUAUUCUCAAACUUUAAAUGGGUGAGAUCUCCGGCUUGCUCGAACGAUGAAGCCGUGAGACCUCGGAUCAGAGUGCCAAGUGGGCCACUUUUGGUAAGCAGAACUGGCGCUGUGGGAUGAACCAAACGCCGAGUUAAAGCGCCUAAAUCGACGCUUAUGGGAUACCAUGAAAGGCGUUG
rnacentral:rRNA from 1 species